UCGGGAAUUUUGGGCAAUGGGGGAAACCCUGACCCAGCAACGCCGCGUGAAGGAUGAAGUAUUUCGGUAUGUAAACUUCGAAAGAAUAGGAAGAAUAAAUGACGGUACUAUUUAUAAGGUCCGGCUAACUACGUGCCAGCAGCCGCGGUAAUACGUAGGGACCAAGCGUUGUUCGGAUUUACUGGGCGUAAAGGGCGCGUAGGCGGCAAUUCAAGUCAUCUGUGAAAUCUCCGGGCUUAACUCGGAACGGUCAGAUGAUACUGCUUUGCUAGAGUGCAGAAGGGGCAAUCGGAAUUCUUGGUGUAGCGGUGAAAUGCGUAGAUAUCAAGAGGAACACCUGAGGUGAAGACGGGUUGCUGGGCUGACACUGACGCUGAGGCGCGAAAGCCAGGGGAGCAAACGGGAUUAGAUACCCUUGUAGUCCCUGAGCGGGCUGGCAAGGCGCAU
rnacentral:rRNA from 1 species